CCUACGUGAGGCAGCAGUGGGGAAUAUUGGACAAUGGGGGGAACCCUGAUCCAGCGACGCCGCGUGAGUGAAGAAGUAUUUCGGUAUGUAAAGCUCUAUCAGCAGGGAAGAAAGAAAUGACGGUACCUGACUAAGAAGCCCCGACUAACUACGUGCCAGCAGCCGCGGUAAUACGUAGGGGGCAAGCGUUAUCCGGAUUUACUGGGUGUAAAGGGAGCGUAGACGGCGAUGCAAGUCUGAAGUGAAAGGCGGGGGCCCAACCCCCGGACUGCUUUGGAAACUGUAUGGCUGGAGUGCAGGAGAGGUGAGUGGAAGUCCUAGUGUAGCGGUGAAAUGCGUAGAUAUUAGGAGGAACACCAGUGGCGAAGGCGGCUUACUGGACUGUAACUGACGUUGAGGCUCGAAAGCGUGGGGAGCAAACAGGAUUAGAUACCCGAGUAGUC
rnacentral:rRNA from 1 species